UUUUGUAAUGUUAAAAAAAAAAAGGGAAUUUGGCCCUUUACCCCUAUUGGAGUCCUCCUAACAAUAUCUACCCACUCGAUUCUAAUUCUUUUUGUUUUGCCCUCUUAUUUUUUAAUAUUUCUAUAGUACCCUUUUGAGAUAUCAAAAACAAAUUAAACGAAAAGUCCAUUGUUCCCUUCUCUGUUUUUUUCUUUCUUUCACUUCCCUUUGAGUUCUACUCCUUCAAAAUUUUCACCGGAUCUUCUCUUCUCCUUCCUCACCCUUCCCCCGAAAAAACUAGAUUUAGGGUUAGGGUUUGAGUUUUCGAAUUUCCGAUUCAAACAUAAUCGACGAUGGUGUCUAAAUAUUCAAAUGUGUGAGCAUUAGACGCUGAACUGAAGUGGUCAUAUCCCAAACAAAAUAAAAACACAGAGAGAGAGAGAGAGAGGGAGAGAGAGAGAGAGAGAGGAAACGAUGAAGUAAUGGCAAGCAAGGAAGAGAGCGCAGUAAAGGAGACUGCUCUUGCCAAUCUUAUUGUAAGGUUUUUUUGUCAUAGCUUUAAAAAAUGACCCACUGUGUUUUCAAUUUUGUUUUCAAUUAGGUAUUUACGCUAAUCUGAUCAUAUACCAAGAUAAUUCCUUGCAAGCAGUAUGGUCAAACAAUGAAGGUGAUCGAAGACUUAUUAGAGUGGAUAUUGUUGAUUGAGGAUUUCAAUAUUUAACCCUCAUCCUGGAAUGGAUGGCAGUGAUGAGAAUUCAACUGUAAAGUGCCCUUUUUUGGCAUGUUUGGAUAUGGAGGACCUAUUGCAUCUAUGCAUCUAGGAAGGCAUACUCUUGUUUCUUCGAAGAUAGAAUUCGAAGAAAGUAUAUACAUUACAUCUUGAGAGAGAAGCCUUACUUGAUAGUUCUGGCUCUGAACAUACCUGGACGAUAGUUAAGUUGCAUACCAGUUUCGUGAUCUAUCAAAGGGCCAUAUUUUUUUUAAUAUUUUUAUUUGAUUUCUCUUACAUUUUUGCAAUAGAGCCAUCCAAUGGUUUUCAAUCACUUGUACUAAUGGAAAACUUUAUUUCCAUUUUAGACUGAAGGGGUUAUAAAGAAUCCCUUAGAAGAUGAAAUUAGGGACACACCCCACGGAGAGCUACUCUGUUUCUAUUAUUUUAUACUUUUGGCAUGGUCAAAUGGAGAAAUUAUGUGUCAAUUAUAAGAAUUUACUUGUGCCAGUUGUGAAUUUGACAAAAUGAUAGCUGUUGAUUUUUUUUUUUUUUUAACAAGUGGGAUUCCUUGUAGUAAUUUUCACAUUGUACCUGACCAGAAGAAUAUACGUGCUUGCUUUUAUGUGAUUAUGAUCAAUUAUUUGAACAUGCUACCUGAUAUAAUUUUUUUUUAUGGUAGAUGGGUGGAUAAAAUCCUUGAGGCAUUAAGAGGAUAUGACUACUAGAGGACUGGCUGUUAAUUGUUUAGGUGAAAAAAGCAGUUGCUUGUUUUUAUUCCUUAAAUUUAAAAUGAGCUCUCCUCAGUUUUCUCCAGAUGCAGGUAUAUGAGAUGAUGUGAGAGGUGUAGAAUAAUGCAGCAACAUAGACAUGGAAAAGUUUGAAGUUUCUAUUUAACGUGAUUACAUGCCAGCAGCAAUACAAUAUGUUGGAAUGUUUAACAUCCUGAACAGCUCAUAUCUGGUAGCUAGAUCAUUCUUUUGAAGUUAGUGAAGAGCAAUAAUUUUAUGGAAAGCCAACUUUCCUGCUUGUAUAUAUGUUUAUAAUUUUCCAAAAAUGAAGUUUUGAUAAUGACCCGACAUCUUUUUUACUAUGCCUUAAUGAUGAGUUGUUACCACUCUUAGUAAAAUAAUGAACACUAGUGUAGUUAUGAUUCAUGUCCAAGUAGUAUUUGUUCCUUUUCAAUGAUGUUAUUGUAUAAUACUUCUGUACAUUAUAAGCAAAUAAUGGAAGCUCACUUUAAUA